UACGUAGGGUGCGAGCGUUAAUCGGAAUUACUGGGCGUAAAGCGUGCGCAGGCGGUUCGUUAAGUCAGAUGUGAAAGCCCCGGGCUCAACCUGGGAACUGCAUUUGAAACUGGCGGGCUUGAGUGUGGCAGAGGGGGGUGGAAUUCCGCGUGUAGCAGUGAAAUGCGUAGAGAUGCGGAGGAACACCGAUGGCGAAGGCGGGUCUCUGGGCCGAUACUGACGCUGAGGAGCGAAAGCGUGGGGAGCGAACAGG
rnacentral:rRNA from 1 species